rnacentral:rRNA from 1 species
GAUGAACGCUGGCGGCGUGCCUAAUACAUGCAAGUCGAGCGAACAGACGAGGAGCUUGCUCCUCUGACGUUAGCGGCGGACGGGUGAGUAACACGUGGAUAACCUACCUCUAAUACUGGGAUAACUUCGUGAAACCGGAGCUAAUACCGGAUCAUAUAUUGAACCGCAUGGUUCAAUAGUUAAAGACGGUUUUGCUGUCACUUAUAGAUGGUUCCGCGCUGAAUUAGCUAGUUGGUAAGGUAACGGCUUACCAAGGCUACGAUGCGUAGCCGACCUGAGAGGGUGAUCGGCCACACUGGAACUGAGACACGGUCCAGACUCCUACGGGAGGCAGCAGUAGGGAAUCUUCGGCAAUGGGCGCAAGCCUGACGGAGCAACGCCGCGUGGGUGAUGAAGGUCUUCGGAUCGUAAAGCCCUGUUAUUAGGGAAGAACAAAUGUGUAAGUAACUAUGCACGUCUUGACGGUACCUAAUCAGAAAGCAACGGCUAACUACGUG